CUCAGACGGUGUGUCCUCCACCACUGGCUCGGUCAUGUCGAAGGUACGUCUGUGUGACAAACAUGGAGACAAAGACAAAUCGGCUCCACUCUGUCUUGUUGUCUGCCCCACUGACCUUGCACAGCUGCUGCACAGUGAGGUGACGAAAAUGGAGAUGAUGAGGAGGAGGAGCAGGGAGAAGACACCCAUGUCUGGAGAAACAGUGGCUGUGGAGAGCAUCCAGGAACCCAGGAAUUCUCUGCCUACGGGGGCCAUAUUGACUGAGACUGAGAGGGGGGGAGGGGGAUUUAACACAGAUAUCAUCAGAUCUAUAUAUAAUAUAACUAUAGGCAAUAUAGUCACACUCUUUGGUCCCAUCAAAUGAUUUAACACUUCAGUACGAGAGGAAGAAGUCAUUUUAGAUUUUCUUUAAAUUAUUUUAUGUAUCACUAACAACUACUUUAUUUCACAAAUUGGUUCAUGUUUCCAGCAAAAAAUUGUGCUACCAGUAUGUCUGCCUCAAGCUAAGAAAAGCAAGCAGCAACAUUGUGUAUUCAAACUACGCUUACGUGAGACCUAUUUUCCCUUACAAAUGAUAUGUAAACUUGGAUGCUCACUGCAGACGCAGGCCUGUUUUACAGGAACUGGAAAGCAGGACAAACUGCUUUUUAUUUUAUUUUAUUUAUUAUCUGAAACUAGAGGUCUGGUCAUUGUUUUUGCAAUAUUUUAUACAUAUUUUUGUGAUUUUGUUGUUUUGGCCACGUGAGAAUGUUCUUGGCGUGUCAAUUAAUCACAUUUCAGUGGAGUUGAAAAGAAUGGAAGGCUAAAUGAUUGACAGCGAAGAAAGGAAGGAGUUUACUAAAGGAAAGAGUCAGACAUGAUAGGAAUUACUAACAACCAAAGUUAGCGUAACCAUUAUCAACUUUACAAAACUGGCCCAAAUAGGAUCAAUCCUAACGGUUGUCUGUAAUGGGCUAUUCUUUACAAAUUGUGUGGUUUGGUUAAGAAUAAAUCACUCUUGAAGUUACA